CUACGGGUUGCUCCAGUCGAGAAUCUUCCACAAUGGACGAAAGUCUGAUGGAGCGACGUCGCGUGAUUGAUGAAGUCCUUCGGGAUGUAAAGAUCUUUUAUAGGUGAAGAAGUUAUUGACAUUAGCCUAUGAAUAAGGAGCUGCUAAACUCGUGCCAGCAGCAGCGGUAAUACGAGUGCUCCAAGCGUUAUCCGGAAUUAUUGGGCGUAAAGGGUUCGCAGGCGGUUGUAUUAGUCUUUCGUUAAAUCUCCCGGCUUAACCGGGAACCCGCGAAAGAAACGGUACAACUAGAGGAUGCGAGAGGUAUAUGGAACUCAUGGUGUAGGGGUGAAAUCCGUUGAUAUCAUGGGGAACACCAAAAGCGAAGGCAAUAUACUGGCGCAUUCCUGACGCUCAGGAACGAAAGCGUGGGUAGCGAAUGGGAUUAGAUACCCGGGUAGUC
rnacentral:rRNA from 1 species